rnacentral:rRNA from 1 species
UACGAAGGGGGCGAGCGUUGUUCGGAUUUACUGGGCGUAAAGGGCGCGUAGGCGGCUUGGCAAGUCGGGUGUGAAAACUCCAGCUCAACCUGGAGACGCCACCCGAUACUGCCAUGGCUAGAGUCCGGUAGGGGACCACGAAAUUCCUGGUGUAGCGGUGAAAUGCGCAGAUAUCAGGAGGAACACCGGUGGCGAAGGCGGUGGUCUGGGCCGGAACUGACGCUGAGGAGCGAAAGCGUGGGGAGCGAACAGG